rnacentral:rRNA from 1 species
AGUGAACGCUGGCGGUAGGCCUAACACAUGCAAGUCGAACGGCAGCACACUAAGAGCUUGCUCUUACGGGUGGCGGGUGGCGGAAGGGUGAGGAAUACAUCGGAAUCUACUUUUUCGUGGGGGUUAACGUAGGGAAACUUACGCUAAUACCGCAUACGACCUACGGGUGAAAGCAGGGGAUCUUCGGACCUUGCGCGAUUGAAUGAGCCGAUGUCGGAUUAGCUAGUUGGCGGGGUAAAAGCCAACCAAGGGGACGAUCCGUAGCUGGUCUGAGAGGAUGGUGAGCGACAGUGAAGGUGACACGCGGUACAGAGACCUACGUGAGGCAGCGAUGGGUAAGAUUGGACAAUGGGGGCAAGCCUGAUCCAGCCAUAGCACGUGGGUGAAGAAGGCCUUCGGGUUGGAAAGCCCUUUUGGUGGGAAAGAAAAGCAGCAGGUUAAUACCCCGCUGUUCUGACGGUACCCAAAGAAUAAGCACCGGCUAACAUCGU